UUCUUGUCAUUUAUCACUUAGAAAAAUAACAACAUUGAGAGCUCCAUUUUUCCCCCAUUGUUUCGGCCAAGAGCAAGGAAAACCAACCCCCAUUUUUAGCUCCCCUAAAAUUAUUUCCUUGAUGAUAACCCACUAACUCAAGGUCCCUAAGUAGCGUGGAAAAGUUAUUUGGGUCAUCCAAUCAUCCGUUGUUUCAAUUAGCAAACCCUAGCUAUUUGGUGGAUUGAAGAAGAAAGACCUUGGGGAGCCCGAGGCAUAGAUUUGGAUUAGCGCUAGAUUGGCUAGCUUGGAGUGCGUACAAGGUACAGACGCACAGUUUGGUGAUCCACCGGUUUAGGACAUCCCCUCUUCUACUGUUGGAGUGCUCUUCUCAUUUUAGAGCAUACACUUUUGGUAUAUAUAUCUUGUUCGCUAUGUACGUAUACAUUUGUUCAGGGGUACGACGGGGCCCUGUCCCGCCAUAUGUUCUGUUGGUCUGUUUAGAGGUCUGUAGACGUAUUUGUGGGUGUGUGUGCCUACUUAUGUACAAUUGUGUUUAUAUGAUCUCUCUCGUUAUGGCAGCCUCGUCGGCGUGCGUUUGUAUAUGCGUUUUGGGCCGUUGUGCCAUUUGAUAGCCUUGUCGGCUUUUGAUACAUUUGACAGCCUUGCCGGCUUUUUGAUAUACAUAUAUAUAUAUGUCCGCACUCGGUUGCGUUGAA